rnacentral:lncRNA from 1 species
AGUUUUCAAGCAUCUAUUUUUCCGCUAAUUAAGCACUCACUAGUCUAUAUGAUCAAUAGAAAUCAAGAAAAGCAAAAAUCUAUCACGAGGAAUUAAGAACAAUAUUCAAGUAAGAACUGAAGCAACAUUAACAACUUCAACCUGGUAAUGAAAAUUUUACUUUACAUUAACACAUUAACAUUUCACAUUUUGACUUCAACAUUCAGCACUACAUGGAAAAAAGAAGUUUCACAGUCAUUCUAUUAUAUACAGUAGGGUUUAUAUUUGGACUUGAAUGGUCAACCUAACUGAGAAAAUAACCACAGAUUAAAGACCUAAAACAUAGCACCACUAUCAAAGGACCCACAAACAUUGUUACAUUUCCG